UACGGAAGGGGCAAGCGUUGUUCGGAAUCAUUGGGCGUAAAGGGCGCGUAGGUGGUUCUGUAUGUCUACCGUGAAAGCGUACGGCUCAACCGUAUUUUGUCAGUGGAAACUGCAGGACUUGAGGCUGGGAGGGGCUGGUGGAAUUCCCUGUGUAGCGGUGAAAUGCGUAGAGAUGGGGGAGAACACUCGUGGCGAAGGCGGCCAGCUAGACCAGUUCUGACACUGAGGCGCGACAGCGUGGGGAGCAAACAGG
rnacentral:rRNA from 1 species